rfam:Schistosoma curassoni strain Dakar, Senegal genome assembly, scaffold: SCTD_contig0002644
CUUCAGCUGACCAAUCGCUAAUAGGACGAAACUCAAGUCCUGGAU